ACACGCCGUGUCGGAGGGCACCAAGGCGGU
rnacentral:piRNA from 1 species